rnacentral:tRNA from 1 species
GCCCGGGUGGCGGAAUAGGUAGACGCGCAGGACUUAAAAUCCUGUUCCCUUUGCGGGAGUACGGGUUCGAUUCCCGUCCCAGGCACCA